GAUGAACGCUGGCGGCGUGCCUAAUACAUGCAAGUCGAGCGAACAGACGAGGAGCUUGCUCCUCUGACGUUAGCGGCGGACGGGUGAGUAACACGUGGAUAACCUACCUAUAAGACUGGGAUAACUUCGGGAAACCGGAGCUAAUACCGGAUAAUAUAUUGAACCGCGUGGUUCAAUAGUGAAAGACGGUUUUGCUGUCACUUAUAGAUGGAUCCGCGCCGCAUUAGCUAGUUGGUAAGGUAACGGCUUACCAAGGCAACGAUGCGUAGCCGACCUGAGAGGGUGAUCGGCCACACUGGAACUGAGACACGGUCGAGACUCCUACGGGAGGCAGCAGUAGGGAAUCUUCCGCAAUGGGCGAAAGCCUGACGGAGCAACGCCGCGUGAGUGAUGAAGGUCUUCGGAUCGUAAAACUCUGUUAUUAGGGAAGAACAAAUGUGUAAGUAACUAUGCACGUCUUGACGGUACCUAAUCAGAAAGCCACGGCUAACUACGUG
rnacentral:rRNA from 1 species